UGACUCUAACCUCUUGAAAGACUUCUGAGU
rnacentral:piRNA from 1 species